UGGUGUAGUCUAUGUGAUACGCAGGUAUACGCCGUAUACCCACUAGGAACGCACCAGGAUUUGCGUAUACCCACUUAAAAUGUGCACGGAUACGUAUCAAUCGUCUUCUGACAGAUCUUUCACUUCUGUGUUUAUUUUUCGGAAAUAUCGGUUGGGUAUAACUGCAAUAAAAUACUUUAAGCAGGGGAAGUUAUCUCCUACAUUCACCAUUCAUAAAAUUCCCGCUCGCGCUCUGCCCUUUCUCUGUUACGAAGCGCGAAGCUGCCCCUGCAUCUCUGCACGUUAGUUGGCGGGCCGAGCCCCUCCUUCUCGCGUGUGUGUGCGUGCGUGCGUGUGCGUGUGUGUGUGUGUCCAGUCCUCCCAUAUUAAUGUGUAAACCACAUAAUAAGUAGUCAACAGAAGACAAUGUUUUAAUCCCACUUUAUAUCUCCUUGUUACUUUUAGAUGAGAACCCCUGGCCAGCCUUUCAGACUGGGUGUCAGGCUAGGGAAUUUAAAAACAGGCAUCCUUUUGGUAUACACAAUUGAAAUUCAUAAUGUUAAUCACUAUGUAAAUGAGAGUAUAGCUAAUUCAUGGUCAUUUUUAAGGUGCAGUAAUUUCACACUUUUACACAAUUCAAUUACUGUAUGGUAUGUUAGAUAACAACAGUAAGAGCUCAAAUUAGAGCAAUUGAAAGAGUGAAACAUUAGUCUCCUGUCAUCUCCUUCUCAUGCACUGGUUAGCCAUGGAUGUAAACAGUUCAUUAAAUUAUUUUGAGUA